rnacentral:rRNA from 1 species
GACGAACGCCGGCGGCGUGCUUAACACAUGCAAGUCGAACGGUAAGGCCCUUCGGGGUACACGAGUAGCGAACGGGUGAGUAACACGUGGGUGAUCUGCCCUGCACUUCGGGAUAAGCCUGGGAAACUGGGUCUAAUACCGGAUAGGACCACUGCCUGCAUGGGUGGUGGUGGAAAGCUUUUGCGGUGUGGGAUGGGCCCGCGGCCUAUCAGCUUGUUGGUGGGGUGAUGGCCUACCAAGGCGACGACGGGUAGCCGGCCUGAGAGGGUGACCGGCCACACUGGGACUGAGAUACGGCCCAGACUCCUACGGGAGGCAGCAGUGGGGAAUAUUGCACAAUGGGCGCAAGCCUGAUGCAGCGACGCCGCGUGAGGGAUGACGGCCUUCGGGUUGUAAACCUCUUUCAGCACCGACGAAGCGCAAGUGACGGUAGGUGCAGAAGAAGGACCGGCCAACUACGUGCCAGCAGCCGCAGUAA